CGAGGCCAGAGGGGAGCUCCGAGGUUUAGCGCUUCAUUAGAAAACGAGGAGGCUGGAACAUAUUCCGGAGGAGGACGGAAUUUAUGGUUGCCCUGCCCCGCGGUGAAGCAGAGCACACGUAACCCAGGCGCGGGGGCUAUAAAUCCCCCACGGCAAUCGCGCUGCAGGAAGGACGGUGGCAGCAGCAGCAAAGUUUGGCCACCUAUUAUUUUUCAGAGAUGGUUCAGAAGCUGCUUUUUGCAAAGCCAAGCAGGAGGCUGGCCGGGGCAGCCGCGUCCUCCCCACGGCAAGAGGUGCCAGCGAGGCUGCGUGAGGACACGUGCUGCAGCAGCGACGGGAGCCGGUGCCUCUGCUGCCCUUGCUCUUCGCGCAGGCCACCCGGGAUCGCCGGCUACGGACAAGCAGCGAUUCGAUUCACGCUGCAUUUCAGUCCUGCUCUCGUUUCCGCAGAUGCCCUCCCGCGUGGGACUGGCGCUGGGAGCAGCACCAGCCCUUGCAAACGCCCCCGUCCCGGCGCGGGGACCCUGCCGAGGUGGUGCCCACGCAGCUUCCCAAAGGCCGGUGAGUCUUGGUAAAUCCCCCGCUGCUGCGGAAACCGGGGAGUGAAGGCCGGGAACGUGAACUCGCGUGGACGCGCCGCGGGUGCCGCGGGCAGGGCGCU